rnacentral:misc_RNA from 1 species
GAUGAAGAACGUAGCGAAAUGCGAUACGUAAUGUGAAUUGCAGAAUUCAGUGAAUCAUCGAAUCUUUGAACGCAUAUUGCGCUCUCUGGUAUUCCGGAGAGCAUGCUUGUUUGAGUAUCAGUAAACACCUCAACUCCCUUUUCUUUUUUGAAAUUGGAGCUGGACUUGAGUGAUCCCAACGCUUUCUUCCAAGAAAGUGGCGGGUUGCUUGAAAUGCAGGUGCAGCUGAACUUUUCACUGAGCUAUAAGCAUAUCUAUUUAGUCUGCCUAAAAAACAGAUUAUUACCUUUGCUGCAGCUAACAUAAAGGAGACUAGUUCUUGUGCUGACUGAUGCAGGAUUCACAGAGACAGCUUCGGCUGACUUUGUAAACUCGAUCUCAAAUCAAGUAAGACUACCCGCUGAACUUAAGCAUAUCAAUAAGCGGAGGA